rnacentral:rRNA from 1 species
UUCCGGUUGAUCCCGCCGGACCUGACUGCUAUCGGAUUGAUACUAAGCCAUGCGAGUCAUUGUAGCAAUACAAGGCAUACGGCUCAGUAACGCGUAGUCAACCUAACCUAUGGACGGGAAUAACCUCGGGAAACUGAGAAUAAUGCCCGAUAGAACACUAUACCUGGAAUGGUUUGUGUUCCAAAUGAUUUAUCGCCGUAGGAUGGGACUGCGGCCUAUCAGUUUGUUGGUGAGGUAAUGGCCCACCAAGACUAUUACAGGUACGGGCUCUGAGAGGAGUAGCCCGGAGAUGGGUACUGAGACACGGACCCAGGCCCUAUGGGGCGCAGCAGGCGAGAAAACUUUGCAAUGUGCGAAAGCACGACAAGGUUAAUCCGAGUGGUUCCUGCUAAAGGAACCUUUUGUUAGUCCUAGAAACACUAACGAAUAAGGGGUGGCCAAGUUCUGGUGUCAGCCGCCGCGGUAA